UAUAUAUAUAUAUAUGAGUAUAUAUGUGUGGACAGAAUGAGAGAUGAUUGGAUUGCGAAUCGAAAAUCGAUUCUGGUGAAACAAAAUCGCAAGUUUGAUGGUCUGGCAGUGCCGGAAGUGCUGGCGCGAUAUGUUUGUUAAUCCGACGAAUUGAUUGUCCGAAAUCGCACAUUAUUCGAAUGAUCGAUAUUGCAUUUUUGGGUUUUUUUUUG
rnacentral:lncRNA from 1 species